rnacentral:misc_RNA from 1 species
AUAUAUGAAUUAUAUAUCUGAUUCUCAAUGUGCCAAGUUCUAAGUCUGUGGAUGACAAGUAAAUGUUAUAACAUUCGAUUUCACAAAUUUAAUAUUUCCAGAAUAUUUUCAUUCUCUGUAUUUUAAGAUUUUCUUUGUUUAGAUGGUGUAAGUUUUUGUUCUUGUUGUAUGUGUUAUGAUAUGGAACUUAGGAAACCUUAAGAAUACAUGGAAUCAACUAUUCCAUCAUGGAUUUAACUUUGGAUCAACUAUGCUUCUUAUCUACAGAUAUGCAUGAAUCAUUUGUAAAUCCAUCCACAUUAUACUGUUUGAUAUAUUGGUAUAAUAUUGCUUUGUAUGUUAUUCUUUUUUUACAUUUGAUACUGAUUAAAUUAUUUUUU